rnacentral:lncRNA from 1 species
ACCGCACAAGUAGGAGCCAGGUCAUACAGCUAUUGUUGGUGAGCUCCAGUUUGCUUCGGAGCUUUCCGAGUCGGUUCCUUAUGUUUUGUUAUUGUACAUGAGUCACGUGUGGGCGGGGGUUUGUCCCGACCCUAGUUAUGUCAUGUAUAUCCUAGAGGCUUUGUAGACAUAAGGAAGGGUAAAGUCAUGGAAGUUUAUAUAGUAACGUUAUAUUUGUAUAUGUGGUGGCCCCGACGGCCAAGUAUUAUAUAUAUAUAUUUGUGCGUGUUGUGCUGAUACAGGUAAUUAGACCUUUCUAUAUGCAACGAAGUGCUGUCCAAUUUUUUUGGUGACAUGUAAGUGAAAGUACAGGUAUUUGAACGGGUUCUCCCGGGCCUUCUCGGCUUCGGGUGCCAGUCCGGCCCGAUGGGAUUUUGGGGCGUGACAAAAGUGGUAUCAGAGAGGUUCGUCCUAGUGAGUCUACAAAGCCGUGUCUACGUAGGGUCUUGUUUAUCGGUGUGUUGUGCACCACAUCUAUAAACAGGAGGCUAUGGACAUUUAGGAAUUGUUUCUUUUCUUCAUGUCUUAGAUCGUGCGAUAGAGCUUAUAUUGUAUAUGAAGUCAUAGUUGACCACUGAAUCAGUUUGUUUCUCUUAUUAUAGUAAUGAUGCCGGUUACCAGAAGCAAGAAUACCGGUAAGCAAGUAGAUGUGGCUGCCGGAGAGGGGACUAGUAAGUCACCCACUAUACCAGCUAAUCAAAGUGAGGCUCCAGCUGAGCAUGCAUCAGAAACUUCCUCCAGUCCGGAAGAAAUAAGGGGGAGGAGAACUAUAUCCGCAGAGCCACCUAUUAAUGUUGUUGAUCAAGAUCUUAGAAAUGCAGUGCAACUUUUGACUCGUAUAGUUGCUGGGCAAGCUCAAGGGCAAGCCAUUCCUACUGCAGGUCCUAGUGGUAUAGAUAGGGCGGCUAGCCUUCGAACACAGGAUUUUCUUAAGAUGGAUCCUCCCACUUUUACUGGAUCAGAUCUUAACGAGGACCCACAGGACUUUAUCGAUCAAAUUCAAAGGGCCUUGGAUGUUAUGCAUGUAACGGGUAGAGAGACAGUGGAGUUAGCGGCGUAUAGAUUUAAAGGGGAGGCUAUAUAUUGGUAUGAGGACUGGAAACGAUCUAGGGGUAUUGAUGCACCCCCAGCUACUUGGAAGGAGUUCAAAGAGGCAUUUCUUGAUCAUUAUCUUCCAUUCGAGAUUCGUCAGGCCCGUGCAGAUCAGUUUUUAAAUCUUCGUCAGGGGAAUAUGAGCGUGAGGGAGUACAGUCUUCGAUUUAAUUCCUUGUCGAGAUAUGCUCCUAAUGUUGUAGCUACUAUGGUUGACAGAGUUCAUCAAUAUGUGGAUAGGCUAGAUCCAUAUCUGGUUAGAGAUUGUACUAUUGCUGCUUUGAACAAAGAUAUGGACAUAGCGAGAAUCCAAGCUUUUGCACAAAAAAUGGAAGAUCAGAGGCAGAGGAGAAGAACACAGGAAUCAGAAAGAGGAUAUUCCAAGAGGGCCAGAUCUACAGGGCAGUUCAUGGCAUUCGAAAGAGGGUUCAGACCACAGUUUUCUGCUAGACCACCUAGGCCAUUAUCCUCUUAUUCUACAGCUAGUGCCCCACCACAGUUCCAAGGGUUCAGAGGAAAUCAAUUUGGGCACAGAAGUGAGAGUCAGAGUUCGCGGACAGUGGGGUACCAAGGUCAAGGGAAUAUGAGCCAAUCAAGACCUCCUCGAGAGCCAUGCAAUAAAUGUGGAAGGUAUCAUUUGGGCGCAUGUCGGCUGGGGACCAAUGUUUGCUUUUGGUGCGGUAUGUCGGGGCAUAUGAUGAGGGAAUGCCCACGAAGGGACAUAGGGGGUAUGGCACGACCUACGGGGUCAUUUGUUGCAUCAUCAUCAUCGAUGCCUUAUUCAGGAAGGGGUGCACAGCCAAUGGGUCGUGUUAGAGGUGAUAGAGGAGCCACGAGUUCUAGCGGGGCUCAAAAUCGUACGUAUGCUCUAGCAGAUCGACAGAAUUUAGAGGCUUCUCCAGAUGUGGUUACGGGUAUGUUGGCUAUAUUUUCAUUCAAUUUAUAUGCCUUAAUUGAUCCCGGUUCUACAUUAUCUUAUGUUACUCCAUUGGUUGCUGGAAAGUUCGAAAGAAUACCCGAACUGUUAGUUAAGCCAUUUGAAGUGUCCACACCGGUCGGGGAAUCUAUUAUAGCUAGAAGGGUUUAUCGAAACUGCAUAGUAACUGUUUGUGGUCGUGAUACGAUGGCUGAUCUUGUGGAGUUAGAAAUGGUAGAUUUUGAUGUUAUAAUGGGUAUGGACUGGUUGGCGUCUUGUUAUGCCACAAUUGAUUGCUGCACGAAAAAGGUAUAUUUCCAUUUUCCAAAUGAAUCAGUCCUUGAAUGGAAAGGUGAAAUUAGCGUGCCAAGAGGUAGAUUUAUUUCUUAUUUUAAGGCGAGAAGAAUGAUUUCCAAGGGAUAUAUAUAUCAUUUAGUUAGAGUAAGGGAUACAGAAGCGGAGCCACCAACUCUUCACGCUGUUCCGGUGGUAAAUGAAUUUUCUGAUGUAUUUCCUGAAGAUCUUCCAGGUUUGCCUCCUGAACGAGAAGUAGAGUUUGGUAUUGAUGUAAUACCAGGCACCCAACCAAUCUCCAUUCCUCCGUAUAGAAUGGCCCCAGCAGAAUUACGAGAAUUGAAAGAGCAAUUGAAAGAUUUGCUAGAAAAGGGGUUCAUUAGGCCUAGUAUUUCCCCUUGGGGAGCACCAGUGUUAUUUGUACGCAAAAAGGAUGGCUCGCUGAGGAUGUGUAUUGAUUAUCGGCAAUUGAAUAAGGUGACUAUUAAGAAUAAAUAUCCUCUCCCAAGAAUUGAUGAUUUAUUUGAUCAGUUACAGGGCGCCAAGUGCUUUUCUAAGAUUGAUUUGAGGUCAGGUUACCACCAAGUGAGGGUCAAAGAAAAAGAUAUACCCAAAACAGCUUUCCGAACAAGGUAUGGUCAUUAUGAGUUUCUAGUUAUGUCAUUUGGGCUAACAAAUGCACCCGCAGCUUUUAUGGAUUUGAUGAAUAGGGUUUUUAAGCCAUUCCUGGAUGUAUUUGUGAUAGUUUUUAUAGAUGAUAUUCUAGUUUAUUCUAGAUCAGAAGAGGACCAUGCCAAUCACUUACGACAGGCAUUGCAGACUCUUCGUGAUUGUAAGCUUUAUGCAAAGUUCUCUAAAUGUGAGUUUUGGUUAAAGUCGGUGGCAUUUUUGGGUCAUAUUGUAUCUAGUGAAGGGAUAAAGGUUGAUGCUCAAAAGAUAGAGGCUGUGAAGAACUGGCCAAGGCCCACAACGCCUACGGAGAUUCGUAGUUUUCUUGGGUUGGCCGGUUAUUAUAGAAGGUUUGUCAAAGACUUUUCUUCCAUUUCAGCACCCUUAACCAAGCUAACCCAUAAAGCAUCCAAAUUCCAAUGGAAUGAUGCCUGUGAGAAGAGUUUUCAAGAUUUAAAGAACAAGUUGAUUUCUACACCCGUGUUGGUACUACCAGAAGGCACCGAAGGGUAUACAGUGUAUUGUGAUGCUUCCAGAAUUGGUUUAGGAUGUGUAUUGAUGCAGCAUGGUAAGGUAAUAGCAUAUGCUUCUAGACAAUUACGGCCACAUGAGAAAAAUUAUCCUACACACGAUCUUGAGCUGGCAGCGGUUAUUUUUGCUUUAAAGAUAUGGCGCCACUACUUAUAUGGGGUUCACGUUGAUAUAUAUACUGACCAUAAGAGCUUGCAAUAUAUUUUUAAUCAGAAGGAUCUAAAUUUAAGGCAGCGGAGAUGGCUUGAACUAUUAAAGGACUAUGAUGUUGAUAUCUUGUACCAUCCAGGGAAAGCAAAUGUGGUAGCUGAUGCGUUAAGUCGUAAGGCUAUGAUGGCGCCUAUAGAAAGGCAAGGGAUGGUUAAAGAUCUUCACCAGUUAGCUAGUUUGGGAGUUCGCCUUCUUGAAACUCCGAAUAAAGAGCUUAUCGUACAUAAUGCUGCGGAAUCUUCAUUAGUAGCUGAAGUGAAAGAGAAGCAAUAUGCAGAUCCUAUUUUAUUACAUCUUAAGGAGAACGUUCAGAGUGGUGCGACCAAGGCAUUUGAGCUUACGCGAGAAGGAGUACUUCAGUGCCAAAACCGAUUGUGUGUGCCGGAUAUAGACGGGCUAAGAAAGAAGAUUAUGACAGAGGCACAUUUUUCAAGGUAUUCCAUUCAUCCAGGAUCAACCAAAAUGUAUCAAGAUUUGAAAGAUAUGUAUUGGUGGAAUGACAUGAAGAAGAGCAUUGCAGAAUUUGUAGCUGAAUGUCCAAAUUGUCAAAGAGUUAAAGUUGAGCACCAAAAACCCGGAGGCUAUAUGCAAUGCAUAGAUCUUCCAAUUUGGAAGUGGGACAUGAUCAACAUGGAUUUUGUUACAGGUUUGCCUCGUACAGCUCGAAAAUUUGAUUCUAUAUGGGUGAUUGUGGAUAGGCUUACUAAAUCCGCACAUUUCUUACCCGUUAAGACCACUUACACAGUUGAAGAAUAUUCGAAGCUGUAUGUUAAAGAAAUAGUCCGAUUACAUGGAGUGCCAACUUCUAUUAUAUCGGAUCGGGGAACUCAAUUUACUGCAAACUUUUGGAAGUCUUUCCAACGGGGUUUGGGAACACAAGUGAAUCUGAGUACAGCUUUUCACCCUCAGACGGAUGGACAAGCAGAGCGCACCAUUCAAACACUUGAAGAUAUGCUACGAGCAUGUGUUAUAGAUUUUAAAGGCAGCUGGGAUGAUCAUUUACCUCUUAUUGAGUUUGCCUACAAUAAUAGCUAUCAUUCAAGUAUCAAAAUGGCACCAUAUGAAGCUUUAUAUGGGAGAAAGUGUAGAUCACCAAUAGGAUGGUUCGAAGCGGGUGAAACUCUUAUGUUCGGACCGGAUCUUGUGUAUCAAGCCAUAGAAAAAGUCAAGGUGAUACAACAACGGCUAAAAACAGCCCAAAGUCGUCAUAAAUCAUAUGCAGAUAUUCGGAGAAGAGGGCUGGAAUUCUCUAUUGGAGAUUGGGUAUUUUUAAAGGUAUCACCAAUGAAAGGGGUUAUGAGAUUUGGUAAAAAAGGGAAACUAAGCCCACGUUACAUAGGGCCAUAUAAGAUUACCAAGAGGGUCGGACAAGUUGCAUAUGAAUUAGAGCUACCCCAGGAACUUUCAAUGGUUCAUCCAGUGUUUCAUGUGUCAAUGCUUCGAAAAUGCAUAGGUGACCCCUCUCGUAUCACUCCUAUAGAAGAUGUACAGGUCACAGAGGAUCUUACUUAUGAAGAGGUACCGGUUGCUAUUCUAGAUCGCCAAGUUAAAAAGUUAAGGAACAAAGAAAUGGCAUCAGUAAAGGUACUUUGGAGAAAUCAACAAAGGGAAGAGAUUACAUGGGAAGCUGAGGAAGCAAUGAAAUCUAAGUACCCUCAUUUGUUCAAAGAUGAAGAGGAAGUUCAAGAAACGGAGUUAGAACAUUAACAAGUAAGUUUUUGUUUAUAUAUGCAUAGUAUUUAUGUGAUGAUGUGAAUGUUAAUGGUGGACUUGAACUUGUUUCGGCUAAAUAACUACAUUCACAUUCGAGGACGAAUGUCCUUAAGGGGGGAAGGAUGUAACACCCCGUACUUAAUUACGUGCAUUAGUCAUUGUUAUAUGUGUUGGGGUAUAUGUAUUGAUCCUAAGUUAGGUAUAUAUGAGUUUAAGUAUGAGUAUUGAUUAUUUUGAGAUGGUUUCAAGUGUAUAGUUUGAUUAUAGGUGUAUAGGAAUCGACUUUAUUUAUAUCGGAAUUUUCCCGUCGAUGGUUCCAUACGAAGGUUAUUGAAUAAGCUUUCCAACGAUAUAAAGAUUUCCAAAAACGGAUAAGUUUCGGAUAUAAGCGAGCUCGUUCGAAACUUUAAAACGGUGGCCGGGAUGUGAACAGUAAAAUGUGCAGGAAACUACUGAGGCCUGCCAGUUUUUUGGGUCAACUUUGAACGAUCAUAACUCCCUCAAUAUAAUGAACUGGUUGAGCUACCAUAUAUCAAAAGAAAGAUCUUUGAGUCUUCUUUCCAAUGAAAUUGGUUUCAUCCAAAUCCAACAUCUGAGUAAGGAGUUAUACUCGUUUUACUUCAGCCUCUCAAAACAGAUUUUUAGGGUCAACUUCAAACGAUCAUAACUACUUGUACAGGACGAACUGGGUGGAUUAAUUUAUAUUAAAUGAAAUACCUUUGAAUUAUCUUUCUAACGAUACCAAUUUCACCCAAAUCCGAUAUCGGAGCAAAGAGUUAUGGCCGAUUUACUUUAGCCUAUCAAAACAGUCCACCAUGGACAGAUUCGGAUUUACUUAAAUUUUUAAGGGCAAUAUGGUCAUUUUCCAUCACCUCUUGAACGAAAAUUGGUCAUUAUAUACAUAUACUUAGCCUCAUAUCCAUUAUUUAUCAUCCAUUAUUGAAAACUAAGAAACCCUAGCCAAAUUUCAACUCCAAUUAUCUUGUGAUUCAACCGUAGAAAAUCCAAAUUGAUUCCGUAGUUGUGUUCACCGUCUCAAGGGCUUCGAGAAGCACCCCUUAUUUGUGCCAACAGGACUUCGAAAUCAAAAGGGCCAUUUUUUUGGUAAGGAUGUAAAUUAUGUUGGUGUUAUUUAUAUGGAUAUGUAUAUAUAUAUAUGCAUGUGAGCAUAAGAAGUAUGUUAUUUGAUUGUUGUUGAAAGAUGAUUGGAAAUGAUGUUGGAUUAUUCUUGUGCAUGGUUGGAUUAUGUUAAAUUGUGAAGGAAUUUGGGGUGAUGAUGUGGUAUUGAUGAUGUGGUAUUGAAAUGAUGAUUAUAUAUAUAUACACACAUAAACCUAUUGUUCAAGUUGGUUUUUGGAAUGUUUUGCAAAUAUUGGUAGUAUGGAAUUAUGGAAGAGAAUUGUGGUGUUGGGUUGCUAAUACUAGAUGCCAAACAUUUCAUUGUAGAUAAGUGAUUUGUAAAGGCGGGAAGUUGUGUUGAAUUGGUAUCUGAAUCUACAACGAGGUAUGUAAAGCAUACUCUAACAAUGUUCUUUGGCAUGAAAACACCAAUGUUCCAUCAAGUAAGAUUCCGAGGUUGUCCAAAAACAUGUAUUGUUCUACGUUACCAACGAAGUUGUUUCCAUUCUAUAAAGUGUCAAAAUGUUUCAUUGAUAUACCAAAAGGCUCUUAUUUCAUUGUUGUGAUAUUGAUGAUUCUGAAACACAUUGUUGAUGUACCAAUGAGUCUUUAUUACAUCGUUAUUGUAUAGAAGGUCUAUUACUUGGUUCCUAUUGAUGUAUCAUUGUUUCAAAGUAUCAAAAAUGUGGUGGCGACCGAAAUAACAAUCUCAAAGAUUAAUUGAACUAAGUGAUGGGAGUUCUUUCUUAUCGGGUGGUAUCCCAGGGGCAUAAGCCUAGCAUGGGUCGAUCCCUAUUUCAUGUGUUUAUGGGUGGUAUCCCAGGGGCAUAAGCCUAGCAUGGGUCGAUCCCAGUUGAUAUGUACUGGAGGCAUCCUAAUGGUCACAGUACAGUACAGUAAUGAUUACAAAGACGAUAAGAACGAAGGUAAAGUGAUUGAAUAAAUACAAUGUACAGGUUGUCACAAGUUCUAGUAAGUGUGGUCCACUCCUAUUACGACUUAUUCACUUGUUUCUGAUUUCUAUUGAGCUCCUAUAUCAUAUGUGAUUAUUUACAGCUUUACAUACUCAGUACAUAUUUCGUACUGACGUCCCUCACGGGGGACCUGCAUUUCAUGCUGCAGGCACAGGUACCUCAGCUCAUACACCGCACAAGUAGGAGCCAGGUCAUACAGCUAUUGUUGGUGAGCUCCAGUUUGCUUCGGAGCUUUCCGAGUCGGUUCCUUAUGUUUUGUUAUUGUACAUGAGUCAUGUGUGGGCAGGGGUUUGUCCCGACCCUAGUUAUGUCAUGUAUAUCCUAGAGGCUUUGUAGACAUAAGGAAGGGUAAAGUCAUGGAAGUUUAUAUAGUGAUGUUAUAUCUGUAUAUGUGGUGGCCCCGACGCCAAGUAUUAUAUAUAUAUAUUUGCGCGUGUUGUGCUGAUACAGGUAAUUAGACCUUUCUAUAUGCAACGAAGUGCUGUCCAAUUUUUUUGGUGACAUGUAAGUGAAAGUACAGGUAUUUGAACGGGUUCUCCCGGGCCUUCUCGGCU